rnacentral:rRNA from 1 species
CCUUUACUGACGCUAAAGCUCGAAGGUGCGGGUAUCGAACAGGAUUAGAUACCCUGGUAGUCCGCACGGUAAACGAUGGAUGCCCGCUGUUUGCGAUAUAGUGUGAGCGGCCAAGAGAAAUCGUUAAGCAUCCCACCUGGGGAGUACGCCGGCAACGGUGAAACUCAAAGGAAUUGACGGGGGCCCGCACAAGCGGAGGAACAUGUGGUUUAAUUCGAUGAUACGCGAGGAACCUUACCCGGGCUUGAACUGCAGGGGAACGAUCCAGAGAUGGUGAGGUCAGCAAUGACCCCUGUGGAGGUGCUGCAUGGUUGUCGUCAGCUCGUGCCGUGAGGUGUCGGCUUAAGUGCCAUAACGAGCGCAACCCUUUUCUCCAGUUGCCAGCAAGUUGAGUUGGGGACUCUGGAGACACUGCCAUCGCAAGAUGAGAGGAAGGAUGGGAUGACGUCAAAUCAGCACGGCCCUUACGUCCGGGGCGACACACGUGUUACAAUGGGAGGGACAGAAAGCUGCGAAGCCGCGAGGCUGAGCCAAUCUCCAAACCUUCUCCCAGUUCGGAUCGGAGUCUGCAACCCGACUCCGUGAAGCUGGAUUCGCUAG